AAUUGGGAUAAAUUGGGAGUGUUUGGUCACUUCACUUUGCGUGUGGCAAGGUGUUGGUGGGCGCCAUUUGGGAUUCUUGUACGUGUUAAAGAAGACUGGACUGGGACUUUGCUUCAGAUGUAAGUUUAUCUGGGUUGUUCUGCAAUGGAGGGCUGGAACUGUGUGGGUUUUCAUGGACAGCACUGUUAUUACUAUUUUGCAUUAGCUGCUGUUGCUUCCGUUUGCCUUGGCUCUUUGUACCAUUUCAUGGACCUUGAAUUGAAGACUGCAACCUCUGGACCUACAUCUUCAGAGGUUGUGAGGGAUCGUGUCUGGAAGGAUGGCAAUAUUUAAAACUUGUGAUUUCAAGCAAUUGGAAUAACCCAAACUACACGUG
rnacentral:lncRNA from 11 species